AACAUGUCAAAAAGCAGGAGCU
rnacentral:misc_RNA from 1 species